rnacentral:rRNA from 1 species
GAUGGACGCUGGCGGCGUGCCUAAUACAUGCAAGUCGAGCGAACAGACGAGGAGCUUGCUCCUCUGACGUUAGCGGCGGACGGGUGAGUAACACGUGGAUAACCUACCUAUAAGACUGGGAUAACUUCGGGAAACCGGAGCUAAUACCGGAUAACAUGUUGAACCGCAUGGUUCAACAGUGAAAGACGGUCUUGCUGUCACUUAUAGAUGGAUCCGCGCCGCAUUAGCUAGUUGGUAAGGUAACGGCUUACCAAGGCAACGAUGCGUAGCCGACCUGAGAGGGUGAUCGGCCACACUGGAACUGAGACACGGUCCAGACUCCUACGGGAGGCAGCAGUAGGGAAUCUUCCGCAAUGGGCGAAAGCCUGACAGAGCAACGCCGCGUGAGUGAAGAAGGUCUUCGGAUCGUAAAACUCUGUUAUUAGGGAAGAACAAAUGUGUAAGUAACUAUGCACGUCUUGACGGUACCUAAUCAGAAAGCCACGGCUAACUACGUG